UUCCAGACUCCUACGGGAGGCAGCAGUGGGGAAUAUUGCACAAUGGGGGAAACCCUGAUGCAGCGACGCCGCGUGAGUGAAGAAGUAUUUCGGUAUGUAAAGCUCUAUCAGCAGGGAAGAUAAUGACGGUACCUGACUAAGAAGCCCCGGCUAACUACGUGCCAGCAGCCGCGGUAAUACGUAGGGGGCAAGCGUUAUCCGGAUUUACUGGGUGUAAAGGGAGCGUAGACGGCAUGGCAAGUCAGAUGUGAAAGCCCGGGGCUCAACCAUGGGACUGCUUUUGAAACUGUCAAACUAGAGUACGGGAGAGGUAAGAGGAAUUCCUAGUGUAGCGGUGAAAUGCGUAGAUAUUAGGAGGAACACCAGUGGCGAAGGCGUCUUACUGGACCGAAACUGACGUUGAGGCUCGAAAGCGUGGGGAGCAAACAGGAUUAGAUACCCUGGUAU
rnacentral:rRNA from 1 species